GAGAAAGCGACUAAGGGCGUACAGGGGAUGCCUUGGCGUCAAGUGCCGAAGAAGGGCGUGGUACACUGCGAUAAGCUCCGGUCAGGCGUGUGCAGCCGUGAACAGCCGGAGAUUUCCGAAUGGGGAAACCCGGCGGGGGUGAUACCCCGUCAUCCUGCCAAGCAGGAGGGGAACUGGGUGAACUGAAACAUCUUAGUAACCCGAGGAAAAGAAACGAUUCUGCGAGUAGUGGCGAGCGAAAGCGGAACAGCCCAAACCGCACUUCGGUGCGGGGUUGUAGGACUCGAGCGCGCGUGGCAAAGGCGAAGUAGAAGGCGUUGGGAAACGCCGCCAGAGAGGGUGAGAGCCCCGUAUACGGAAGCCGGCGCCAGGCACGAGGAUCCUGAGUAGCGCGGGGCACGCUAACCCUGCGUGAAGCUGGGUGGCCCACCACCCAAGGCUAAAUACACUUGACGACCGAUAGCGGACCAGUACCGUGAGGGAAAGGUGAAAAGAACCCCGGCGAGGGGAGUGAAAUAGAAUCUGAAACUGUACGCUUACAACCGGUCGGAGGGCGGUACAUGGUACUGCCUGACGGCGUGCCUUUUGGAGAAUGAGCCUGCGAGUUUAUCUCUGUGGUGAGCUUAAGGGAGUGACACCCGGAGGCGUAGCGAAAGCGAGUCUGAAUAGGGCGAGCAAUCGCAGGGAUAAGACACGAAACCUGGCGAGCUAACCAUGGGCAGGGCGAAAAUGCGGUAAUGCGCAUGGGAGGCCCGAACCCACUGAUGCUGCAAAAUCAGGGGAUGACCUGUGGUUAGGGGUGAUAUGCCAAACGAGCCAGGAGAUAGCUUGUUCUCCCCGAAAUAGCUUUAGGGCUAGCGUUGCGUGAUGAGUGCCGGAGGUAGAGCACUGGAUGGGCUAGGGGCCGUCAGGUUACCGAACCCAACCAAACUCCGAAUGCCGGUGACUUUAGCGCGGCAGUCGGACGGCGGGAGAUGAGUUUCGUCGUCAAAAGGGAAAGAGCCCAGACCCACGGCUAAGGUCCUCAAGUCCAUGCUGAGUGGCAAACGAUGUGAUUGUGUUCGGACAGCCAGGAGGUUGGCCUAGUAGCAGCCACCCUUUAAAGAGUGCGUAACAGCUCACUGGUCAAACGCAGUUGCGCGGAUAAUGUAACGGGGCUAAGCAUGGCACCGAAGCCAGGGAGCCGCGGAUCCUACGGGAGAAGCGGUUGGUAGGGGAGCGUUCUGCGGGCAGAGAAGGCGGCCUGAAAGGGGCGUUGGAGCGCGCAGAAGUGCGAAUGCAGGCAUGAGUAGCGAGAAACGUGUGAGAACCACGUUCGCCGAAAAUCUAAGGUUUCCGACGGAAGGUCAGUCCGCGUCGGGUUAGUCGGCCCUAAGCCGAGGCCGAAAGGCGUAGGCGAUGGAUGACAGGUCAAUAUUCCUGUACCGGUGAAGGGAGCGUUGUGGAUGCGCGUUGGGAAGGAUCAGCCACUGAGUGGAUUGUGGUGGCAAGCGGGUAACACCCGUGAUGCCGGGGCCUAGCCCAGAAGUGAUCGGCACCUAGCGCCGAGAAAAGUCCACAAUGCGUUGAAGCUCAUCGACCGUACCACAAACCGACACAGGUAGAUGGGUAGAGAAUACCAAGGCGAACGGGAGAACCCUCGUUAAGGAACUAGGCAAAAUGGCCCCGUAACUUCGGGAGAAGGGGCGCCAGCGCAAGCUGGCCGCAGUGAAAUGGCUUCGUCGACUGUUUACCAAAAACACAGGUCUCUGCUAACGCGAAAGCGGAUGUAUAGGGGCUGACGCCUGCCCAGUGCCGGAAGGUUAAGAGGAGGGGUGCAAGCUCUGAAUUGAAGCCCCGGUGAACGGCGGCCGUAACUAUAACGGUCCUAAGGUAGCGAAAUUCCUUGUCGGGUAAGUUCCGACCCGCACGAAAGGCGUAACGAGCGAAGCACUGUCUCAACGAGGGACCCGGCGAAAUUGAAGUGUGCGUAAAGAUGCGUACUACCCGCAGCAGGACAAAAAGACCCCGUGGAGCUUUACUGCAGCUUGUCAUUGCGUUAGGGCGCAAUUUGUGUAGGAUAGCUGGGAGACUGUGAAGCCUGGUCGUCAGAUUGGGUGGAGUCAAUGGUGAAAUACCAGCCUGGUUGUGCUUUGGCCCUAACCGUUGCCAUUGAUCAUGGCGCGGGACCGUGGCAGGUGGGCAGUUUGACUGGGGCGGUCGCCUCCUAAAAGGUAGCGGAGGCGCCCAAAGGUUGGCUCAGAUGGAAUGGAAACCCAUCGCAGAGUGUAAAGGCACAAGCCAGCUUGACUGUCAGGGAGACAACCCGAGCAGAGACGAAAGUCGGGCUUAGUGAUCCUACGGUUCGGAGUGGAACGGCCGUAGCUUAACGGAUAAAAGCUACCCCGGGGAUAACAGGCUAGUCUUGUCCAAGAGUUCACAUCGACGACAAGGCUCGGCACCUCGAUGUCGGCUCAUCGCAUCCUGGGGCUGGAUAAGGUCCCAAGGGUUGGGCUGUUCGCCCAUUAAAGCGGUACGUGAGCUGGGUUCAGACCGUUGUGAAACAGGUCGGUCUCUAUCCGCUGUGGGCGUUGGGAAUUUGCAGGGUGCUGCCCCUAGUACGAGAGGACCGGGGCGGACGCAGCGCUCGUGUACCGGUUGUCGCGCCAGCGGCAUCGCCGGGUAGCGAUCUGCGGUCGGGAUAACCGCUGAAAGCAUCUAAGUGGGAAGCCCACCUUAAGAUAAGAUUCCCCAUCCCCUUUGAGGGAGUAAGGCCGCUGGGAGACUACCAGCUGGAUAGGCGGGCGGUGGAAGCGCAGUAAUGUGUGUAGCCUACCCGUACUAAUGGCCGAGGGCUUUCUCUU
rnacentral:rRNA from 1 species